UGGUAUUUAAGGCAGCAGGGUGACUCUUUGUCUUAUCAAAUGGGGUGGCAAGUUCAUCUCCUAGCUUCUGAGCAAUGUGGAAUGACUGAAAUGCCUUGGCAAAUUCCUUGACAGGAAUAAAUCUGUUUUCAAUGUUGAGGAAUAAUUGGUCAAUUUCAGAAAAAGCCAAUGUUUCUCUCACUGUCAUUUCCCCUAUGUGGAGAUCAUGUUGACUGAUAUAAGCCGCUGUUCUUUGUGGGACAAAUUCAUCCAUUCCAUGGCCAUUGUAAGUUAUUCUCCCGGAGAACUGAGGAAUCAUCAAUAGAAGAGAUCUUGAUCAAGCUUUCCUGCCAAAGACAGCAGCAACGUGGUCUUUCCGGAGCUUGGAGGCCCUAAAAGCAAUGUCAUCCUGCAAACAUUCAGAUCAACCAAAGACUUGGAUUAGGUUCAGAGCCUGACUAUGACAUCAUGAAGGAUUGACAGUGGCUCCUUUCUACUAGGGAGAAUAUGAAGAUAGGACAAGAGCCCCUUACAAAACCAGAAACCAGAUUACUUGGUAAAGCUCUACUUCCCACAUAAGCUUCUGCGUCUACAUUUACACGCUCGAAGCGGACUUCAAUCGUGGGAACUUCAAUUCCAACCCUGAGUAACAAAACAAAGAGGGAAAAACAGAGUUAUACACUAGGAGAUGAGCCUGGAUUAUUAUGCAUUCUAGACAGAGAAAUGUGAAGAUGAUGUAUAUUUUCAUUAUUUCUGAAAGGACAAGUUUUUGUUUACCGAUCAAGGCGGUCCUUGAGCUUCAACAAGAAAUUCUCAUUGUCUAUCUCUGCAACUUUGACCAGCCUUUCUAACAAAAUCUUCCUCUGUGACAAACCAAGACUCUUAAUGUCAAUUUCCUUGGUGUCACCACCUUCUGAG